AUAAGCCUAUGAUGGAUUGGUUAUCCCUGUCUGAAGAUUUCAGCUGAGGGAAAAUACUCUAUUCUGAGGCUUAG
rnacentral:snoRNA from 7 species